rnacentral:tRNA from 1 species
AGGGAUUUACGUUAACUAAGACGAUUUGUUUUCAAAACAAAAAGUGCUAUUCUAAGCAUUCUCUG